rnacentral:rRNA from 1 species
AGUGAACGCUGGCGGUAGGCCUAACACAUGCAAGUCGAACGGCAGCACAGUAAGAUCUCGCUCUUACGGGUGGCGAGUGGCGGACGGGUGAGGAGUACAUCGGAAUCUACUUUUUCGUGGGGGAUAACGUAGGGAAACUGACGCUAAUACCGCAUACGACCUACGGGUGAAAGCAGGGGAUCUUCGGACCUUGCGCGAUUGAAUGAGCCGAUGUCGGAUUAGCUAGUUGGCGGGGUAAAGGCCCACCAAGGCGACGAUCCGUAGCUGGUCUGAGAGGAUGAUCAGCCACACUGGAACUGAGACACGGUCCAGACUCCUACGGGAGGCAGCAGUGGGGAAUAUUGGACAAUGGGCGCAAGCCUGAUCCAGCCAUACCGCGUGGGUGAAGAAGGCCUUCGGGUUGUAAAGCCCUUUUGUUGGGAAAGAAAAGCAGCAGGUUAAUACCCCGCUGUUCUGACGGUACCCAAAGAAUAAGCACCGGCUAACUUCGUG